rnacentral:lncRNA from 1 species
UUUGGUCAGAAACUGAACUCUUGACACUAUCAUAUAUUCCCCUCAAGUUUUGCCGGCUGGUUUCAGCAUGUGUUUGUGAAGCUUGACACGUGGUGUGAGGUUAUUGGUUUUCAUGGAUCUCACUGCAUGCACUGUUUUUUUUCUUUCUAUUACUAAUACUUUUGUUCCUAUUUUACCUUCGAAUAAACUAGCCUUUUUAUUAUCAA